GCCUCUCUAAUGCAUUAUGCAAAGUUUUUAGAUAAACUUUGCUUUCACUCUACUCCCCCACAUUUCUUACUAAAAUCAAAUCCCAAAUCAAAACCCACUCUUCAUCAUUUGACUUUACACAUCUUCACCACCUCAAAAUAAACAUUAUAUAUAUUUGAUCAUAUAGCACAAGAAAAACCCAGAAAAAAGAAAUCAUUAUUUUCAUUGUCUCUCAUGGCUGCCAAGCCCAGCAUUGUCUUUGUUACCAUUUCUCUUCACUUGUUUCUCUUCCUAAUUGCCUUGUUCUCUUCUACAACCAGUGGAGCAAUAUAUAGACUUCAUACUUCAAGGCAUGUUUUUCCAUCUACUACUUUUGGUGUCCUUCCCAAAGGUUCUCCUAUUCCACCUUCUGGUCCAUCAAAGAGACACAAUGACUACGGUCCAGAUGCUCCAGAGAAGGAUGGUGGCAGUGGCGGUGGCGGUAGUGGUAGUGGUGGUGUUUCUCCAUGAGUUCUCCAAAAGGUUGCAUGCAAGACCUUAAUUAGAGAGAUUGUGAUCAUGUAUCAUCAUGUUCAUGCAAUGGUUAUAUCAGUGUGUCUAGGAAAGGAAACACAGGGUUUUGUGAUUCUAGAAUUUAAACUUCUUCUUCUUUCUUUUCUUCAUUUUUCAUUAUUUUUUUCUUAAAUAUUUUCUUCUACCUUCUGCAAUAGAUGGAUAUGUUUCAAUGACUUUCAUCACUAUGAAAAAUAAAAAUAUAACUUCCAAUAUUUCGUUGAUAAAUAAUCAAUAAUUUACUCUAACAACCAUUAUUUUAUAAUUUAAUAAGUAAAUUUAUUUUUUAUUUUUUUUCUUAUUGUAGAUGUCAAUAGAACAAUAACUAUAUCAUGACAAUGAAGAUGUGAUGUGAAUAAUGCAGAAAUUCUAGUACAAUCAUCAAGAAGAAAAGAAGAUAGAGAAGAUUGUG
rnacentral:lncRNA from 1 species